UGGGGAAUAUUGCACAAUGGGCGCAAGCCUGAUGCAGCCAUGCCGCGUGUGUGAAGAAGGCCUUCGGGUUGUAAAGCACUUUCAGCGGGGAGGAAGGCGUUAAGGUUAAUAACCUUGGCGAUUGACGUCACCCGCAGAAGAAGCACCGGCUAACUCCGUGCCAGCAGCCGCGGUAAUACGGAGGGUGCAAGCGUUAAUCGGAAUUACUGGGCGUAAAGCGCACGCAGGCGGUCUGUCAAGUCGGAUGUGAAAUCCCCGGGCUCAACCUGGGAACUGCAUCUGAUACUGGCAAGCUUGAGUCUCGUAGAGGGGGGUAGAAUUCCAGGUGUAGCGGUGAAAUGCGUAGAGAUCUGGAGGAAUACCGGUGGCGAAGGCGGCCCCCUGGACGAAGACUGACGCUCAGGUGCGAAAGCGUGGGGAGCAAACAGG
rnacentral:rRNA from 1 species